UCGAGUCGAAUUCUAAAGCUAUUUUGUGUUGUUUCAGAAAAUAGAAGAGGUUCGACGGUGAGAAGAGAACAGAAGACUUGAUUGAAAUUCAAAUACAUGAAGAUUCCUUUGUUCAGCAAAAUUUGUGUGCUGGUGUUGGAAAUUUGGAGAACUGAGAAGGGAGGAAGGAAAAGAAAAAAUAGGGCUAAGGGGCAGCAAAAUUUCCUUCUAACCAAUGGCUAAAACAAAAGGGGCCAUCACUUUGGGAAUCCAAAAUACAGUGCAACAAAAAGCUUUUGAGUCAAG
rnacentral:misc_RNA from 1 species